AUCAGUCUGCACAGGCUUUUCCAAAUUCAGCUAUUAAGAAAGCAGCGCAUGCGUUCUGUUGUUGUGUUAUUGUUAUUAGAUGAAGUAUAGUCAAAACUCAUUGCAAAUUCAAACAAAUGAAAUGUACCUACAUGAAACCAUUUCUCUUCUUAUAGAAACUUUGCUAACAAUAUGAAUCAUUUGCGUAUUUUUUUUGCAACACUUUCAUUGAUCGUCAUUGUACAAGCCAUGAAGUUCAAGACUUUGACUGACGGCACAUCAAAUAUGUGUUGUCGAGGUAGAAAAAAAUGCGAUGUAAUCUUCAGAAAUAUAGGAAGCAACGGUGAGGAUGUUGACCAUAGAACAAUUUCAAGUAGAAAAAAACGUGACAAAAUCUUCAGGAUGAUUUUCCAAGACAAAGACGUAAAGGGUGACAGUAAAUAGUAACUAUUUCUGGAUGGAUUAUGGAUUUCAGAAAUUCCUUUUACACAGUGUAAAUGUAGCUUUAAUCGUGUAGUCAUUUUUUUAAACGCUUGCACUUUUUUUUUAACCUGUAAUUUUGUUUGCUAUUUUAAAAUAUCAUCGCUUUAAAUACACUCAGUAGUAAAAUUAUUUUCUCGAGUUAA